AGGCCUUGCGCUCAUUGAGCGGCCGAUAUCAGAUUAGCUAGUUGGUGGGGUAAAAGCUCACCAAGGCGACGAUCUGUAGCGGGUCUGAGAGGAUGAUCCGCCACACUGGAACUGAGACACGGUCCAGACUCCUACGGGAGGCAGCAGUGGGGAAUUUUGGACAAUGGGGGCAACCCUGAUCCAGCCAUGCCGCGUGAGUGAAGAAGGCCUUCGGGUUGUAAAGCUCUUUCAGCCGGGAAGGAAACGCAUGGGUCAAUACCCUGUGUGGAUGACGGUACCGGAAUAAGAAGCACCGGCUAACUACGUGCCAGCAGCCGCGGUAAUACGUAGGGUGCGAGCGUUAAUCGGAAUUACUGGGCGUAAAGCGUGCGCAGGCGGUUUUGUAAGACAGGCGUGAAAUCCCCGGGCUUAACCUGGGAACUGCGUUUGUGACUGCAAGGCUAGAGUACGGCAGAGGGGGGUGGAAUUCCACGUGUAGCAGUGAAAUGCGUAGAGAUGUGGAGGAACACCAAUGGCGAAGGCAGCCCCCUGGGUCGAUACUGACGCUCAUGCACGAAAGCGUGGGUAGCAAACAGGAUUAGAUACCCUGGUAGUCCACGCCCUAAACGAUGUCAACUAGGUGUUGGGUGGGUAAAACCAUUUAGUACCGGAGCUAACGCGUGAAGUUGACCGCCUGGGGAGUACGGCCGCAAGGUUAAAACUCAAAGGAAUUGACGGGGACCCGCACAAGCGGUGGAUGAUGUGGAUUAAUUCGAUGCAACGCGAAAAACCUUACCUACCCUUGACAUGUCAGGAACUUGCCAGAGAUGGCUUGGUGCUCGAAAGAGAACCUGAACACAGGUGCUGCAUGGCUGUCGUCAGCUCGUGUCGUGAGAUGUUGGGUUAAGUCCCGCAACGAGCGCAACCCUUGUCGUUAAUUGCCAUCAUUUAGUUGGGCACUUUAACGAGACUGCCGGUGACAAACCGGAGGAAGGUGGGGAUGACGUCAAGUCCUCAUGGCCCUUAUGGGUAGGGCUUCACACGUCAUACAAUGGUCGGUACAAAGGGUCGCCAACCCGCGAGGGGGAGCCAAUCCCAUAAAGCCGAUCGUAGUCCGGAUUGCAGGCUGCAACUCGCCUGCAUGAAGUCGGAAUCGCUAGCAAUCGUGGAUCAGCAUGUCACGGUGAAUACGUUCCCGGGUCUUGUACACACCGCCCGUCACACCAUGGGAGCGGGUUCCGCCAGAAGUAGGUAGCCUAACCGCAAGGGGGGCGCUUACCACGGCGGGGUUCGUGACUGGGGUGAAGUCGUAACAAGGUA
rnacentral:rRNA from 1 species